rnacentral:rRNA from 1 species
GACGAACGCUGGCGGCGUGCUUAACACAUACAAGUCGAACGGAAAGGCCCUGCUUUUGUGGGGUGCUCGAGUGGCGAACGGGUGAGUAACACGUGAGUAACCUGCCCUUGACUUUGGGAUAACUUCAGGAAACUGGGGCUAAUACCGGAUAGGAGCUCCUGCUGCAUGGUGGGGGUUGGAAAGUUUCGGCGGUUGGGGAUGGACUCGCGGCUUAUCAGCUUGUUGGUGGGGUAGUGGCUUACCAAGGCUUUGACGGGUAGCCGGCCUGAGAGGGUGACCGGCCACAUGGGGACGGAGAUACGGCCCAGACUCCUACGGGAGGCAGCAGUGGGGAAUAUUGCACAAUGGGCGGAAGCCUGAUGCAGCAACGCCGCGUGCGGGAUGACGGCCUUCGGGUUGUAAACCGCUUUCGCCUGUGACGAAGCGUGAGUGACGGUAAUGGGUAAAGAAGCACCGGCUAACUACGU